UUGCAGUUUCACUGGCAUUGCUCUAUGUGGAAGACAUAAGGCAUUCUCAUGCUGUGAAAUCAGAAGAACACAGAGACUCUCCAGAUUGGCAGAGAAUUUGAGAGACCACUCAUGCAUGAACACACUCCAAAUAAAGGGGUAUUGGACCUGAGAUAUCCAAAGGAUAUUUUUUCCAGUUAUUUCACUAGUUAUUCACAGAACAUCUCUUGAUGUUGGUCAUUCUGGGGCAAUAUUCUCAGUUCCAUUUGGCUUUUCAUUAUAUUCAUAUUUAAUUUGGAGGAUAUUGAUUAUAUUUAUAACUACUGUUUUAAAAUUAUUGCCUGGGCUGGAAUCAGUGGCUCAUGCCUGUAAUCCCAGCACUUGGGGAGGCCAAGGGAGAAGUGCUGCCACCAGGAGACACGACGACGAUAAUUCCAUUAAACUGGAUGUUAAAAUCACCACCUGGACACUUUGGGCUCCUCCUCCUAUUAAGUCAACAGGCCAAGAAUGGAGUUAUGGUGUUGGCUGGGGUAACUGACCCAGAGUAUCAAGAUGAAAUCAGUCUACUACUCCACAAUGAAGGUCAUCUGAAAGAGGUGAAGAUGGAGGGAGCACGUCUAGGUCUUCCAGGAAGAGCUGAGAGUCUUGAACACCAAGUGCAAAGCCAUCUCAACAUGAUUGCCCAGAGUCAAAGGACAUUCCAGAAGAAAGAUGCUGGAAAAGCCAUUAUUCUCAGCAAACUAACACAGGAACAGAAAACCAAACACUGCAUGUUCUCACUUCACUGAAGACAGAAUUUCUGUUUGCUUUCUUCAAAAAAAUUUGGGAAAGAGUCAUUUAUUUUCAGAAUUUCAUACCUACCAAGGAACUAAUACUACAGAGAAACAUAGGGAAAAGGGUAUUUGUACUUUAUAUAGACUAAAUAAAUAUCUGGCAGAAGCAGGAUUCUCUCCAUAUGUGUAACAGUAAAAGCUUUUCUUUGGCUUGAGUCAGGAACAAAAGAAGAAAGAAAAUUCUAUGGAUCCUGAGAGUAGAGAAAACCUAUCCCCUGGUUUUCAGAGACAAAGGCAACAGAACUGGAGAAGGGGCACCUAAGAGAUGAUCCUCUGGGAACCACAUCAAAGAUUCUUCACUCGAGCUUUGCAAAGAAGAGAAAAUUAGAGAUCUUUGGGAUCUGAAGGGGCCAUGCACACCGAUGUAGUGAAUAUCUCAGGGGCCAUCAGUAUUGACUUAUGACUUCAGAUCAGAUUUGUUUCUCCCCAACCAAGACCUGACGGCCAAAAUCUUAGCACUGUAUAAUAUCCUCAAGUAGUAGAUACUGCUCCCCAAAGAGAGUGGGUAUAAAAUUUCAGGUACAAAUUAUAUUGAGUUUUUAUAUUUUAUCCCUACCAGCCUAAUAGAAGAUUUCAGUCAGAAAUUACAAUGAGUUAAAGAAAAUGAAGAAAGCUUGUUUGCUUCGAUCCCUGGAUACAUCUGGAUUCAUACCCAAUACAUAUUUGAUGCCUCAAUUAAUUCCUACAACAGAACUACAAAAAAAGAAAUUCCUCUACCCCUUAUUACAGAUAGAAAACCUAGAAAGAAAAAUUUAAGUAGUUUCUUAAGAUAGCACAGCUAGUUUAUGAUGGUGCUGGGAGUCAACCCUAAGUCUUUUCAAAUCUAAAAUCAUCAUAUCUGUUAUCCUGUAGUACCCAUAUCACAAGGUUGAGUAGGCUGGGAAAAAUCUGCUAUUGGCCAAUCUGACUCUUUUUAAGUUACUAUGAAUCUGGGAUGCACUCUUGCCUCUUCAUGUGAGUAGAGAGACAAAGCAGAUCUUUGGUGUUCGGUCUCAAAAGUAAACUCUACUAAAUAAUAUAUUUCAUAAACACAACAAAACACCAAAUUGGACUCCUCAUAAGCAUUUUAUAGCCUAAUUUCUUCGCAUAGUUCUGCUUUGUAGUGAUUCUGAAAGGACAAAUCCCAUGAGGAAUAAAGAUCUAUCUGUAGUAAUUGAGAAAUUUUCUGAAGAUUAGAGACUUAGCUGCUUUGAAGAAAACUUUGGCAAGCCCCAGGAGUCAAGAAAUCAGCUGGGAAUAGUUCAGGGGCACUCACUGGCGCUCCACAUGCAUUGGAAGGAGGCUGGCACCAAAUGGUUGCCCAAAGAGCUGCCAGUCGAGAUUGGCACUUGUGCACCAAGACUAAGGGGGAAGCAAGUUGCAAGACAGUGGUGCCAGCUGGAAAAAUACUGCCUGUGAAAAGAAGGAGAUGAGCUUCUAUGGAGGUACCAAACAAUAAUUUCUGAAGUGUAUACAAGGAUGGCUGAAGUGUGGACAUGAGACUGGAAACAGAGGCAGGGCAAUGAUGC
ensembl:lncRNA LINC03106 long intergenic non-protein coding RNA 3106